UGCAGUCGAGCGAUGAACUCCAGCUUGCUGGGGGGAUUAGUGGCGAACGGGUGAGUAACACGUGAGUAACCUGCCCUUAACUCUGGGAUAAGCCUGGGAAACUGGGUCUAAUACUGGAUAUUGACUUUUCACCGCAUGGUGGUUGGUUGAAAGAUUUAUUGGUUUUGGAUGGACUCGCGGCCUAUCAGCUUGUUGGUGAGGUAAUGGCUCACCAAGGCGACGACGGGUAGCCGGCCUGAGAGGGUGACCGGCCACACUGGGACUGAGACACGGCCCAGACUCCUACGGGAGGCAGCAGUGGGGAAUAUUGCACAAUGGGCGAAAGCCUGAUGCAGCGACGCCGCGUGAGGGAUGACGGCCUUCGGGUUGUAAACCUCUUUCAGUAGGGAACAAGGCCAGCAUUUUUGUUGGUUGAGGGUACUUGCAGAAGAAGCGCCGGCUAACUACGUGCCAGCAGCCGCGGUAAUACGUAGGGCGCAAGCGUUAUCCGGAAUUAUUGGGCGUAAAGAGCUCGUAGGCGGUUUGUCGCGUCUGCCGUGAAAGUCCGGGGCUCAACUCCGGAUCUGCGGUGGGUACGGGCAGACUAGAGUGAUGUAGGGGAGACUGGAAUUCCUGGUGUAGCGGUGAAAUGCGCAGAUAUCAGGAGGAACACCGAUGGCGAAGGCAGGUCUCUGGGCAUUAACUGACGCUGAGGAGCGAAAGCAUGGGGAGCGAACAGGAUUAGAUACCCUGGUAGUCCAUGCCGUAAACGUUGGGCACUAGGUGUGGGGGACAUUCCACGUUUUCCGCGCCGUAGCUAACGCAUUAAGUGCCCCGCCUGGGGAGUACGGCCGCAAGGCUAAAACUCAAAGGAAUUGACGGGGGCCCGCACAAGCGGCGGAGCAUGCGGAUUAAUUCGAUGCAACGCGAAGAACCUUACCAAGGCUUGACAUGAACUGGAAACACCUGGAAACAGGUGCCCCGCUUGCGGUCGGUUUACAGGUGGUGCAUGGUUGUCGUCAGCUCGUGUCGUGAGAUGUUGGGUUAAGUCCCGCAACGAGCGCAACCCUCGUUCUAUGUUGCCAGCACGUAAUGGUGGGGACUCAUAGGAGACUGCCGGGGUCAACUCGGAGGAAGGUGAGGACGACGUCAAAUCAUCAUGCCCCUUAUGUCUUGGGCUUCACGCAUGCUACAAUGGCCGGUACAAUGGGUUGCGAUACUGUGAGGUGGAGCUAAUCCCAAAAAGCCGGUCUCAGUUCGGAUUGGGGUCUGCAACUCGACCCCAUGAAGUCGGAGUCGCUAGUAAUCGCAGAU
rnacentral:rRNA from 1 species